rnacentral:tRNA from 1 species
UCCCUGGUGGCUCAGACAGUAAAGAAUCUGCCUGCAAUGUAGGAGACCCAGGUUCGAUCCCUGGGUCGGGAA